rnacentral:lncRNA from 13 species
AUGGCCGGGUGCCGUGGCGUUUUAUUUUUGGCUUACGCUCUGUUGGUGGGUGAUGACCGGUGUCAGGCACGAGUGGAGGCAGCAGGCCCUGUGCCCAGGGCUGGCGGGGCCCUGACGGACACUCAUGGAAACACUUGGUGGAGGAGGCACUCGGCAAAUGCCCGCAGUCCCUGCACCCGGCUGGCAAUGCGUCUCCUCCGCGCACUCGUCAGGGUGGGUUCAGGCAUCGCCAACUCACUGCUCCACCUCUGCCUCUCCUCCACCUUGGGGCCUUCCGAAUCCCGACAGGGAGGGGUGCAGGGUGUCUUAUGUCCGUCCCUUGGGAGAUGUCAAAUCGUCAGUCUGUUUCUCUACAUAUUGACCUUCUUGUUCAGACUGUCACAAGGCCUGAGCAUCGCCAGUCUCAUCCUUAUGACAGGAGGGACCACCCACCUUGAGGCCAGUGCGUGUUUGGAGUCCAGUUCACUGCAAUGUGGUCUGGCGUGCAGGGCAGUAAACCCACUGCUGCCCGUUCGUCACGAGUACGUGCAGAGUUUCAGAUGCCAACUGGAUUUGGAGUUCAGUGUUGACACAUUUUUACCGUUAUUUUAUGAGGUAUCAGCGCACAGUGGGUCUGGACCGGUGGCGGCUUUAUUUGCACCUCACUGUGCCAAACUCCCCAGCAGAGACUCUCACCUAGCACUGUACUCCCCACCAGCCACGCAGACCGAAGUCUUGUGGAGGGAGAACUCUAUAAAAACUCAUCGUGAGUGUGGGUCACCCCUCAUAUAGGCACCGAGGAAGGAGGGCUAAGCAGAAUCCUGGCACAAUUGAGGCCUGAAGCAUAUCUCAGUUACUACUCAGUUAUUUUCCUUUAUAUAAUCCUCUCUAUAUAGUCAUAUAUCAGUUCAUAGAAUGAGUGCCUGAAGAAUAUCUUAUCACUCAGUCAUUUCCAUAUAUGUAUAUCUUAGUUCAUAAUCGGAGGAGUGCCUAGAGUGCACACAGUGCAGAGCAUGAAAUAAGGAAUAAGCAGCUUAUAGUCAGAGGAACGUCUGGAGCAGACACAGUGCAGAGCGUGAUUUAAGGGAAAACAGUUAUGCCAGGACAAGGAUCCAUGGCGCAGGAUCGUAGAUACCCGCUGUACAGCAGGCUUGGGGCGAGAGCCUCUCCUCCGGAUAAAGGAGUUGUAGGACCUUGCUUCAGUUCUUGCGGAAGGCUGCCCUCAGACCAGCAAUCCCUCAAGCAUCCGAGGGCUCAAAACCCCUCCGGAUAAUCGUACUUUGGUGACUGUGAACUUCAUCAGCUCUUGUUACGGUGCUACUUGAAAACCAGCCUCCUAUAGAGCUCGUUGGAAGCUGCCAGCAGGUGGCAGUAGCCCCUGACAGCCCUGUCACUGCUGUGUGACUCAAAGCAUCCUCCCAUAAAUCUUCUUAGAAGUAGCUUGCCCACAGAUGACCUAAUGGGAAUGACCUAAUGGGGGUGGACCCCUUACUGCACACCGCCCUUGCCUCGAUGACCUAAUGGGAACGGGCCCCUUGCUGUGCACUGUCCAUGUCCUGGCCUAGGUGACCUAAUGGGGGUGGGCCCCUUGUUUUAUUGCUCAGGGCCCUAUCACUAUCCUUAAAGAUGACUUCACUCACUGCCCUGCCCCCUAACCUAUACGCAAUAAAUACUCAUGCUUCUGGACA